UUGGAUGUAGCUCAGUGGCAAAGCGCUUGCCUAGCAAGUGCAACAUCUUGGGUUCGAUCCCCAGUACCAAAA
rnacentral:tRNA from 1 species